rnacentral:tRNA from 1 species
GGGCCCGUAGCUUAGCCUGGAAGAGCACAAGACUCUUAAUGGACUCUGCCCGCUUUAGGGCAAGCCCACCAGCAAUCUUGGGGUCGAGGGUUCAAAUCCCUCCGGGCUCA